GCGGGCUCCUUUUCUCUAUGUGAAGUGUCCUGAUUAACGUUACCUUAGAGGAGAAGUUAAUGUUCUGUUACACGCUGUGCAAACGUAGGAAAGGUUUAUUUCUUACUCUUAGCUCCUGGCUGAUGAAGUGCACAAGGUCAACCAUCUCAUCAUCGGUGCACUCCAGUGAUAAUCCAGGUGGGACAAGCAACAUCAAAACACUUUUUGGAAACCACCACACCUGCCAUGGACAGGGGCCUUUUCCUGAUAGUCAGAUCCAACUUGACAUGUUUUAUUUAGUAGGCCAGUGGUGUCUGGUCCCCUUCAGGGGUGUGAGGUACGGGAGGUCCCCUCCCACUCUGGAAAUUGAGGGGGCCCCGGCGUACUCCAUCCUCUCCAUCAUCAACUCAAGGCGCCGGGCGGGGGGCCUCCAGUACCUCGUAGAGUGGGAGGGGUAUGGCCCGGAGGAAUGGAGCUGGGUCCCUGUGAAGGAGGUCCUGGCUUCCGCCCUCCUGCACGACUUCCGUCGCCCGGAUCACCCUGUUCCGCGUCCCCCGGGGCCGGUGUUGUCAGAGGGGGGGGUACUGUGAUGACGGCGCCCUCUGCUGCCUCUCCUCCCCCUGCAGCAGGCAGGCUCCAGCGGUCGACGUCACCGGGCUUCUAACACCACCGCCCAUCUCCUUCAUUCCUCAUUUUAAUCAUUCCCCCCAGUAUAUAUGUUCCCUCUGCUUCCUCUGUCUUUGUGUGUUAUUGUCUUGCCUGCUAAGAGCAUUGUUGGGCUACGCCAUUUUUUACCUAUUAAAUAACUGUCAAUAAUACAACUUCGUCUUCCUGCUCCUCUUUUCCACUUGAGCCUGACAUAAUAUCUAAAACAUUACAGCAGCACAAGUGAUUAAAG
ensembl:lncRNA